AGAAAGAUUCUCCUGUGUAUUGAACUCCAUGUUCUGAGCUGCCUAGGCUUCCACUGGCCAAAUGAACUCAAGACCCUCAAACCUAUGAAUGAAGCAAUGUGAUGCCCCAGGUUGUGUGGAUUCAAAUGACUUAUCUGGAUGGAUUAGAGGCUACAGUCUUCUGGUAGAAAGGUGAAGAACCCAGUAGAUACUCAAUCCACACAUCUGGAUGUCUCACCUGGUAUCCAUCCUAUGAUAAACCACACAAAAUAAUUAUAUACAGAAACAAUGCCUCUGUAUCAAGACAGAAGACAAGCUGAUGAGAAUAAAGGCAAGCAGAUGGUUUUCCAAGAUUGUCAGACAUUCAAUGGUGAGCAUUAUAUAACUGAUCCCUGUUCCACAGGGUGGGGAGAUGAUUUGAAGGCCUACCUUAUUGUUUUGAGAGCAACUGUGAUUUCAUCUUGGAAUUCAAAUGAUGCAGUGGAGUGGUACUUAAAAUAGAAAUUACAAUAAAAACAGUA